UUUCUCGCUCCUCUCCUCUAGUCUCCGCCUUCUCUCUAGGGUUCGAUACCCUAAUUUUUUUUUUCUUCGUUCUUCAGAAAUGGCUCUGUUUGUAUUCUUCCACAGCUUUCUUGAACUGCAUCUUCCUGAGCCAAAUUCGAUCCUCUCUCUCUCGAAGCGUUCUUCGUUCAUUAACUUUUGCGGUUCAAUAAAGCUGUGGGAAGAUACAGACAAGGUCAACGAAAUCGGUAAUCCAGAGCGAAAUUCGCCGUCUACAAUGACCUUCAAUCGCCGGCGCCGUCGGUAUAUUUCUGUAACUUACAAAAUCGUAUGAUGUUCGAUGGCAGGCAAAAACAAGUUUGUGUGAGAAAGCUUUAAAGCCAUAUAAUAUGCCUUUCGAUGAUGAUGAUGAUUAAUAUAUAAUUGAAGCAGUUGGUUUCGUUUCAUCAAAGGCUAUGGAUCUGUACUUUUACUGUGCCCGUAGAUAAACCAACAGUUUCUGAUAUUUUAGUGCAGCCAUAGAAUGGAUGGAGGUUGUAGGCUAUAAUGUUUUUCACCACUUUUUCAUCCAUUUUCUUUUUGUGAGUUUCUGUAAUGUCAGAUCUUAGUGGUGUGUGGUUGAGUUGAAUUAUUAAAGAGGAGAAGGAUUAUUCUGUGCAGCAGAGUAAAUUUGAAACACCAAGUUAAUUCCUAUUGUAAUGAAUGCUCUAUAGGUUUAAGGUAUUAGGACCACUUAUCAGAAGAAGCCUUUAAUUGGCUCUUUUUUAGCUUCAAACUCCUUCAAUGCACACCAUACAAACCCCUUUUUUUCUCAUCCUGUCAUCUUCACCUAUCAUAUUCACUUUUAAUUUGUCUCUCUUUUGUUCUUUUAGUGAUUCAUUAAUGCACAAACUUUUGCUUCUUUUCUUA